AUUCAUUUGAUGAAAUUGUAAAUGCCGAUCAUCCAACUUAACAGGAACUGCACAUUUGUUCCUUUCUAGUUAAAAAAAAAUAAAAUGUUGCCAGUUAAUAGAGCAGAUCUCUCUGUGGAAAUAUGUAGCCGAGGUUCGAGUUGUUUGCAAAUAAAAUAGAAAGCUCUUCUGUCUUCUCUUUGUUAACAGUCCUCAGAGGAUGAGCAGGCUUUUGUUAGCAAAUCCGGCUCCAGCUUUGAAACCCAGCACCACCACCUGCUUCACUGCCUGGAAAAAACCACGAAUCACGAGUUUGUGGACGAACAAGUCUUUGAAGAAAGCUGCAUGGAAGUUGCAACUGUUAAUCGUCCUUCAAGUCACAGUCCCUCACUGUCUUCACAACAAGGAGUCACCAGCACCUGCUGUUCACGACGACACAAAAAAACUUUUCGCAUCCCAAAUGCCAAUGUAUCAGGAAGCCAUCAAGGUAGUAUACAAGAACUCAGCACGAUUCAGAUCAGAUGUGUGGAGAGAACACCUCUGUCUAACAGCCGAUCCAGUUUAAAUGCCAAAAUGGAAGAGUGUGUUAAACU
rnacentral:sRNA from 1 species